rnacentral:lncRNA from 1 species
AGGGGGCUGGGCAGAGUAACUCAGUGGUAGAACACUUGCCUGGCAUGCUCCUACUCUGGUUAAAGCACCCUGUAUAGUACUGAUUUUUUUGAAUACUGUCUCUGAGAUAUUUUCCUAAAUGCACAGGUAAAAUGAUCCACUAUGGUUUGCAGCUAGUGUCAAUUUUUAUAUUCAAGCCAAGUCUGGAGCCAGUAUCACUCAGCCUUGGCCAGGAACUUUCACUCUUCCAUAUAUCCCACCCACUCAGCCCAGGGGGCCUCUACUGCUCCAUGCUAAGCUGAGUGUAGCUCUCCACUGCAGGCUGUUACCCCACCUGUAUGGCUUUUUCCUACUAUUCACUUUAGGCGUGGUAGACAAUUCAGCUCUACAAGGGCUGACCAGAGUAACAGGUUGAAGAGCUGGACUUACACAAAGAAGCAAAGGGAGGGUAAAUCAUGAGGCUGAAACACUAGCUUUAUGGAGCCUCAGAGUGUUUUCAAGCAAGUGGUUGACAAGACAGAGGAUAAAGACGAGCAGGUAACUGGAGAUUGAUGGAAGCUAUGCAACACUAUUAAGAGUGUAUGAAAUGUCACUGUGGCCUGGGAGGAUGACCUGUAGUUGGAAGCAACUGGGUCCCAAAAUAAUGCAGGACUCAGAGGAACCAAAGGACCCAGGAGAGCAAUCAUGAAGGCACAUCCCAGAAACACACUUCAGCUGCUCCUUGGUGAGCCAGUUCAGUCAGAAUUUUCGGGAAUAUCUGGCUUGCUUGUCAUAUGAAGUUCUUAGAUUUCUUACAACUUAGAAGCAUCUAAGCAUCCUGUUCCAGGAACAGCAAGACAACCCUGGAAAGGUUUCCCUGCUACCUUCUUAUCCAAAUUACCUUUGCAACAAGAAAAAAAUGAAAUGGGCAGAACACUUGGCACCACUGUAACACUCAACCCACAAUAAUUCUCCUUUCUCUAAAAUCACCUCAGGGCUCUCAGAAAGGGGAUCAGGCCAAACCCACAUCUCUUCCAUGUGUUCUCUGGACCCAUACUGGCUAGACUGAAAUAUGGCCUCUUCACCAGCACCUAAUGUAGCAUCCCAGCACUUAAUAAAUAUUUAGCACUAUCAAAUGUACUUUCAGGAAACAGCUUGGAAAUGAUUGCCUCAUUUUUAAGCAGCUGCUUGAGAAUUGUGCAUUUUGCAAAAGCUAAAUGCACU